UUAUUUCAAAACAUUUCAACACCGCCGCUUCCUUACUCCUCUCUCUCUCUCUCUCUCUCUGGCGAUUCACCAGAUCUAUGAAGUUCGAUGAAGAUUCUGAUCUCCUGGUUUUGAGAACAACCCGUAGGCGCUCCAAAUCAAGGUAUAAAUCUUGAAUCUAAGUUGACGAUAGACGUUGAAUAUGCCACCAGAAGCAUCCGUGUUGAGUAGAAGAUUAUCAAGGCUCAGAUUUUGGAAAUUGUGGGUCAAAAGAGGGUUUAGGAAAGUGAUGAUGAAGUUAAAUUCGGCGAUGAUGAAAAUAUCACACGUAACUGGAGUGUGUUGAAAACUACUCCUGAGCUUCGCAAAUCAAAGGGUCACCAUUGGAGUCUGGACCCACAACACCCCUGCCAGAUAGAAAGAUAUUGUUGUUCAUUCUUGAUAGGCUUCAAAAGAAGGAUACUCAUGUCGUUUUCUCUAAACCUGUUGAUCCGAAUGAGUGGGAUUGAAGUGAAGAAGCCUCAACAACAUAUUAUAAAGCUAACAAAAUGUUCAUGAGUCCGUUAACUGUGGACACAGAAGAUUCUUUUUCGAGUUUACUUGAAUACGCCGCUAAUUAUCACCCAUGUCUCCCAGGUUCAGUCAACAGAUGUCACUAUCAGGAAACAGUGGUUAACACUCUUCAGUUACGUGGCCCUAGCCGAAUGUCCCGACACUUCAUCUUCCAGGAAGUAAUCUACAAUCGAGUCGGCUUAGAUCUUCUCUUAGCGCCAGGGAUAUCCCAUUAGAGGAUUUGAGCUUGUUGCAGGAUUAUAAAUCUCAACAACUGCUACACGACUUUACCUGUUAUUCACAAACUCGACCUGGUUCACUCUCGUUGAACCGUUCAGCUCGGUCUAAAACACUUGCUCCUGCAAAUCUUGAAGAUCUGUUUGUAGCGGAGCUUGCUUCUUCUCCAAGAUAUUCCGAUCCGGCAGCAUCUCCUGGCGUCUUUUCACCAUCGCACAAAUCAACGGUUCUCAACUAGUUCCAACAGCAGCAAAGCAUGCUUUCUCCUAUCAAUACCAACGUGUUUUCACCGAAAAACGUUGACCAUAUGUUGCAAGCUUCUUUUGGCGUUUCAUCACCGGGGAGAAUGUCGCCGCGAAGCAUGGAUCCGAUAUCUCCAACGGGUGCUCGGCUUUCCGCUUUUGCACAACGUGAAAAACAUCAAUAGCUACGCAGUCUCAGUUCUAGGGAUCUUGGAGCAAAUCUUGGUACAAACAGUCCUUUUAGUGUCGGAUCACAUGUGAAUAACACUUCGUCUUCUUAGUCAAAAUGGGGAUCUCCAACUGGGAAGGCUGACUGGUCGGUCAACGGAGACGGAACCUGGUCAAGUACAAUUAUAUCAUUAUAUAUCAUACGGCGGACUAUGUGGUGGGAUCAUUGAGGUAAGUUCCAUGAACCACAUGCGGGAUGUAAACUCAUGAUCUUUAUUCUUUACGGUUCAAAAGCUCGUGUCUUUAUUCUGCGUAUGCUAAAAUACAAUAUUUAUGGCUUGAUGAAAACGUUGCAAAUAUUUGGACGGAGUUUGGUACGAAUGGAAAAGAUCAAAUAAAGGUUAAUCAUGUACAUCAUUCAGCUGGUUUACACAAUGCUCCGCCACUGAAGAAGGCCGUAACUGACCCUCACGUUCUACUACACUGCCACCAUCGUCGACUCAGCAAAAUCGGAAACUACAUCCCCGUACAUAGCCCUAAACUUACCAACCUAAGUCAUAUGUUUCCCGCCGCAUCGCGCAGCACAAAUAUUUUUGAAACCUCACGUAGAAUGACAACACGAGCAUAUUUGAUAAACACUUUGGAGGAUGGGCAAUGGAUUUCACAAAACGUGAUAGACUGUUGGGCGGCUAUUUUGAAUUAUGAUGAGAAAAAAAAAACAAUACAGUAGGGAAAAGGCGAUUAUGGUGUUAUACGACAACUAACCCGGAGUUUAUGUUGAAAACAAAACAGACAGAAAAAAAAGCGUUUACAACAUUAACUUCACACUUGAAGGAGGUUGUGGAGUGUGACAUUAAAAUGCUGGAGUUAAAAAAUUUAACAUCAUAAUAAUACCAAUGAUCGAAAGAAAGCAUUUUUAUCUAAUAUUCUUUGAUUUAGAGAACGCGAAGGUCGAAGUUAUUGAUAAUAUUGUGAGUAACAGCGGGUUUUACAGAAUGUCAGAAGGAACGAAAUUUAAAGAAACUGGAACGCCAUGUAAAGUGAAAAAUUACAUGGUUGGGUAUUUGAAGGUUGUUGCACGCAUGGCAGCCGCAACGUUGACAAAGAAAAAAUUGGAAUGGGAAACGAGUGAUAAUUUCAACGAUUGUGGUGUGUUUGCUAUGAGGCACAUGGAGAUGUACAAAGGGAGUGAUGUCGAGUUUGAAUGCGGUUUUAGUACGCGAAAAAUAUUCAAGACAUGCAAUUGCAAAACUUGAGGAUGAAGAUUGCAACAAAACUGAUAUUAUCAGAGGCAAACGUGUACGAGAGAACGGUUAUGUACCUCGCAAGCAAACGUGUACAAGAGAACGAUUAUGUACCUCGCAAGAAACGCAACACAAAGUUUGAGAGAUGAAAGAAUGCGAAAAAUGUUGGAAAAAGAGGGGGCGAAACAAGAAAAAUGUUGGAACAUUCUUAGCAAAUGGAAGAAUGGGGAUAAAGUUUGAGGGUAUUAGUUAAUAAUUCAGUUUAUUAACUGUCAGGACACGUAGUAUUUCUACACGUAGUAUUUCUGGUUAAUUGGUGAUCUAUGAACAUUAAACUGGUACUUUGGUUUGUUUUGUUUGGUUUGGUUUGGCAUGUUAGAUGGUUGUGUUGUGAAGGUAACAAGUUGGUACCGUUAUGAUGUCGGUUAUAGUUUUGGUUAAUUGUGAUUGGAACUAGCUUAUUGUGUUACUAAUACUUGUUGGUUGACAACAGUUGUUAUAACAGUUGGUAUUUUAGCAA